CUCAAUCAGGUAUAAAAGCCUCAGCGAGCCCUGAGGAUAUGAUUAUGUAGUAUAAUGGCAUCAUCAGCAAGGACCCACUCCUGUCAACAGAGCUGCAACCGGCAAACAGGCAAAGGAGAGAUGUGGCUGCAGUGAAUUCUGUGGCUGGCGAGACCGUGGUGUCCAGUGGGGAGUUAUUCUGACCUGACCAUAACUACCUUCCACCUGUCAGGCCUGAAGAAAUACUUUUGAUCUACUUCAGCUAGGGAUGAAGGCCUCACUCUUUGACCUUGUAGCAUACACACAAUACAUAUUGUGACUUGUAA